CGCGGCCUAUCAGCUUGUUGGAGAGGUAACGGCUCACCAAGGCAUCGACGGGUAGCUGGUCUGAGAGGAUGAUCAGCCACACUGGGACUGAGACACGGCCCAGACUCCUACGGGAGGCAGCAGUGGGGAAUCUUGCACAAUGGGCGAAAGCCUGAUGCAGCAACGCCGCGUGCGGGAAGAAGGCCCUAGGGUUGUAAACCGCUUUCAGUAGGGAAGAAAAUGACGGUACCUACAGAGGAAGGCGCGGCCAACUACGUGCCAGCAGCCGCGGUGACACGUAGGCACCAAGCGUUAUCCGGAUUUAUUGGGCGUAAAGAGCUCGUAGGCGGUUUGGUAAGUCGGGUGUGAAAACUCUGGGCUCAACCCAGAGAGGCCACCCGAUACUGCUAUGACUAGAGUACGGUAGGGGAGCGGGGAAUUCAUGGUGUAGCGGUGAAAUGCGCAGACAUCAUGAGGAACACCAGCGGCGAAGGCGCCGCUCUGGGCCGUAACUGACGCUGAGGAGCGAAAGCAUGGGUAGCAAACAGGAUUAGAUACCCUGGUAGUCCAUGCCGUAAACGUUGGGCACUAGGUGUGGGUCUCAACCAACGAGGUCCGCGCCGUCGCUAACGCAUUAAGUGCCCCGCCUGGGGAGUACGG
rnacentral:rRNA from 1 species